rnacentral:lncRNA from 1 species
GUUUGGCCGACCGGAGCAGUCAACACCAUAUCCAUCCUGCCAAUAGGAUGUUGGAAUUUCGAAUUUCUCUUUGCAUUUUCCAUUAUGAGAUGCCAUGUUGGUCUGACAGGGAUUUCCGCCACUAUAAAUGAUUCUUUCAUCUUGACAUUCAAAAUAGACCUCUCCAGGAGGCGCAAUGUAUUUAUUUCUGUAUAUUCCGUCGGAAAAUCUCAUGCAGUCAGGUGCGAAAUAAA